UGUUGGUCCAAGUACAGUGGUGUUUACAAUUAAUCGAGCACGACCAGUUACAGAUUCCUUUGUUCCUUCUCCACUCCCACUGCUUCACUUGACCAGCCUUUA
ensembl:misc_RNA Y_RNA Y RNA